GAAUUUUUAUCCGUUUAACCGUAUUGUCUCGUAACCAUCGAAAGAUAUUAAUUAUUUAAAAAAAAAAAAAAAAAAAAAGAAAAAAAAAAGAAAAAAAAAACUAGAAGAUUUUACGACGUAUAAAUAUUUAAUCGUAUCGAAAUAAAAAAGUUAGAAAAUAAAUCGAAUUUAAAUCGUAAAAAAUUGGAUUACGUUAAACCAUAUCGUUCCCUUUUCUCGUGUGUUUCAUUUAUCAUUAUCUUUCAUUACAAAGAAAUUUUUAUUCUUAUAGGAUACGUUAAAAGAUAUCAAAAGAAGAUAACAAAUUGCGUUAAAUAUUUCAAAUAAGUAUGGACUUGUUAGAUUACAUUGAUUUAAACGAAGUCGAUUAUGAUGAUAUCGUUGAACGAAUAUGUUUGUACGAAUACGUUGAAAUUAUGGAUCAAUGAGGAAAAAAAAAAAAAAAAAAAAAAAAAAAAAAAAUGAUAAGUUCGAUAUCUAACAAGUCAACGUACAUUACCUUGUUCGAUUCGAUUUCUAACAGCCUUUAUUCUUCUUUUCCUGUCAGUUUCCUUCUCAAAUUCCCAACAUUUUACGACAUUUUCGUAAUACCUUCUCUCUCUAGACUCUGCCUCUUUCAACUUGUCGAAAAUGGACUCUCGUUCCUUCACGAUUUUACACUCUCCACGAUCGCGUAAUCUGUGACCGUAGCUAAUGUUGGCGGUCCCGAUAAUGUCUUGUGGAUACUUUUGACGUCUAGGUGGACCACAUUCGACCUUUAGCAAUGGUAGGACACUCAUUUUUGGGGAUUUCAAGGGGACCGAACAAAUAUCGGUCUGGCAAUAACCACGAAAAGCCGACUACACCAACGAAACCCUCUCCCUCUCUCUCUCUCUCUCUCUCUCUCUCUCUCUCUCUCUCUCUCUCUUUCUAUCUAUCUAUCUCUCUCUUUCUCUUUUUCCUUCUUCCUACUUGUUUCCUUCCUUUCCGUUAUCGAGGUUGCCAUAGAGAUUUACGCUUGUUGUUUCGAUGUCUCGUCGAUUACAUACGUCGUUCAACGAGUUUCUGUCUUGAAUUACACACUCUCUUGAUUGGUAUUCCCUAUCCCCCUCUAUUGAGCCUUUUUUCUAACUAACCGUGUUAAAUUACAAUUUUUUUUAUCCGACAUUUUUUUUAUCAAGCUUCUUCAAUCGACUGACGUUCGUAACUGAAAUAUCAUGAUUACGUUUCAAGGAUGUAAUAUCGUACAUGAAAGAAGGGAGAAAAAGAAGAAUGAAAAAAAAAAACCGGUUGGUUCUAACAAAAAAAAAAAAAAAAAUAAAAAAUAAAAAAGAAAAAACAAGGGAUAAAAAAUAAAAAAUAGAAAGAAAAAAUAGGAAAAAAAAGAAAAAACAAAAAAAAUAACAAGAUAGAUCUGUUGCAUAGUAUAAAAUAUUAAACAAAAAUAUUAUCGUUUGUCAAAUGGACCAAAAGAUGGCGUGAUAUAUUAUCAAGUUCCCAAAAGCGAGAGACCAUUGCGAUAGUAAUAACAAGAUAGAUAGGAGGUUUAUAUUUUCAUACUAACCUGGCGCAGGGGAUACCAUGAUCAACGAGGUGGUUCCCCCAGGACUGAGGCUAAACGCUGAAGCCUGUAAGUACUCCUAAUGCGAGUAUUUGUGCGUUCAAUUUUUGAUAGUGUGGGGUAUUUGCGGUUAACGCAGACCCCAUACAAAAUAACUUUUGACAAAGGUACAAAAAUGAUUUGAUUCAUGGUGAAUAUUAGUCCGAGAGAGAAAAACAGUUCGAUUAAACGAUUGUGAUGGGUGCGCUUGAUCACGACCAGGCACAAUAACACUUUGCGACGUCACUUUUUAAUCUUUCUCAUCUUUCUUGUCAUCGAGACACCAUUGAAAGCAGCAAGCAGUAGUAGUAGCAGCAGCAGCAGCACCACCACCAGCAGCAGUAGUAGUAGUUAAAAGAUUCUCUCACAUCCUGGCUCGAACGAUCUUGUUUUGUGUGUCAGUUUGAGCAGACUAUAAAGGCGCGACUACGGAUACCGACUAUUUCCGAUAGAUCCAUCGAGGAUUUUCAUCUUCAGAUCUAACACACGAAAAAAGAAUCCUCUUGUGAAGACAUUGACAUCAUCAUCUCAGAACGGCGGAGCUUCUUAACUUGCCUGGCCAAGUGUUUCUCAGACAACAGCAAGAUGAUAGAUUCUAGAGGGUGAUGAUGGAACGAGGAAAGACUGAACGGCAGCCGAACGAACAAUCAAGAAUUUCACAAUGGUCACCCAAAUUCAAGAAAGAGCAUAGAAACGGUACGUGAAAGGAACCUCUCCCGAACAAAGUCACGUAACGAAGAAUUCUCACCUGCGAAGAAGACUCUUGGUUGAGGCGACGGUGUGCCCGGGGGAUAAUUGGGAGGCGCUGGUGGUGCUACCGGUGCCGCAAGGAGAUCGUAAUCACUUCCGGAGCUGCCGACUGCAACGAAACUGUAGGAGCCACGGGCCCAAGGAUCUGCACGCCAUCUUGUAACGACACUCUCUCGGGGCUGUGGGACUACUUGAUUGCCAAAGAUCGUCUGUGGGAAUACAAGCGACAAAGAGAGAGAGAGAGAGAGAGAGAGAGAGAACUCUUGUAAAAGUUCACCCACCUUGAGGACCGAGAUACAGCGACCAAUGAUAACGUCGUCGCUGACAUUCUCCAUUACGCAGGCUGCCUCUCCAGCGACGAGGGCCAACAGGACCGGCGCUUUGUACAGGUUCCAGAACAGGAAGAGUUCUCCUCUCGAGGCGGUUGUACUACCCACGUGCCCGAACAAGUUCGCCGUUGGAUCCCAAAAGAUUCGUUCGAAGCAUAAUACUACCUGAAAUGUUUGCAUUCGUUUUUUUGAGAAUUAUUGUAAAUGAGUACGUGCUAUUUGCGCUCGUCUAAGUUCUUAAUAAUAAUACAACAUAAAAAGAUGGUAGGAGAAAAUGAAAGAAUAAAGAGAUGUGAAAAACGGAAAAAAAAAGAAAAACAAAAAAAAAAGAAGAAACAAAUAAAAUGAAAGAAUAUAGAAAAUAUAAAGUUAAGAAGAUUUUCCAAGAGAGGCAUAUCCUUUUUCUGACUGUUUUAAAAUAUAUUUUCAAACGAAUUUGUCGUCUCAUAAAUACGUUAGUACUCUUUAGAAUUGACUUAGCCUAUAAGAUCUUACCUUAUUUAAAUUGCCAAAGCCAAGCCUCUGGAUGGCUUGAGACUUCCAAUCCGGAAGCGGAGGGUUGAAAGCAACCGCGGAGGGUGGAGCGGAAGCCUUAAGAACACCGAGUGGCAGCGUAACCAAAACAGCGUCGGCUUUAUAGACGGUAUGAUUUGUGUGGAGGCUGCGAGAGGGUGCGGCCCAUACUUCUACGCCAUUUACUCCGUACCGAACGGCCCUUGCAGCUGUGUUCAAUCGAAUAUCGAGUCCUUCUGAGAGAGCAACAGGUACGCAGGAAUAUCCGUUGCGAACUGGAAGAAUAAGAAGAAGAAAAAGGACGAAUAAUAAGAAAGAAAGAAAAAGAAAAAAAAAGAAAGAAAGAAAAAAAGAAGAAGAAGAAAGAAGAGAGAAAAAGGAAAAAGAAGAAAAAAAAAACAAAAAGAAAAGAACGUUGAAUAUAAACGUAUCAGAGAAAAUAAUAGAGUUAGCAUCGGUAUAGCUAAUAUUCAAAGUUAAUCGGUCGAUAAAUAUAUGGAAAUCAGAAUCGAUGUUUAGGCUUGAAUUGGCCAUUGAGAUAUACGUGUUUCGAUAAAAAUUCUUAUGCAUUUAUGUACGGGGUUUUUUUUUUUUUUUUUUUUUUUUUUGAAAGGGCGAGGUGAAAGAAAGAGGGGAAAAAAGAUAGAGCAAAAAAAGAAAAAGAAAAAAGAAUAAAAAAAAAGAAAGAAAGAAAAAAAGAAAAUUCCUUUCUCUCGAUUAUACUUUCAAAAUAUUGAAUUCCGUGUGAUGAAAUUUACAAUAUCAAAACGUGUUAACAAAAUACACUGGUGUAUCGUGCGAUAUGGUUUUUAUAAACGGAGAAGGGAAUAAGUGGAGGAGGGGAGAAAAAAAGCAAAAAAAAAAAAAAAGGGAAGAAAAAAAGAUGAUAAAACGAACGAUACUUAUGACUCGAUCUAUGCCACGUGUCAACCCACGUGUUAGUCACGCUUAAUUAUUCUAGAGACAUCAAGGUGAGACGACACGCGAAAUUUUGAACGUAACGCGAAGAGGAGAUCCCCGAAUUUCGGGCGAGGAAACGAGACAGCAGACGAGCUCCCUUUAAAAGCACAACUUGUGCAAGAGCAAGAGAGAGAGAGAGAGAGAGAGAGAGAGAAACAUAGGGAGAGAUAGUGAGUCUCGAGAAUGAGCGAGAGACAUAAAUUUGGGGCGGUCGCCCGGCGCCAUGUAGAACGAAGCACAGCAAGUCGUUCUGGAACUGCUACGCUGAUGUUGGACGCAUCAUCGUCAUUAUCGCUUAAACGGAUAUUUCGCCGGUUGGCACGCUUAAAUCAGAAUAUAUAUUCCUCGCUCGCACGAAUGGCUUUUGAAAGUGUGAGGAGGAUACUCGACGAUGUGCCACGGUGAAGAUGGCGAUGCAGUCCUAAUAAUGAUACACGGACGUCUCCACUUAGGCCGUUUAAUUAUGUUGAUGGCUGAGCAGCACAGUUCCCGUGCUAACAGCCACCGUUCUCUCUUACUCUCUCUCUCUCUCUCUCUUUCUUUCUCUCUCUCUCUCUCUCUCUCUCCCUCUCUAUCUCAUCUACCAUUGCUACCAGUGCUCCCGUUUCGGCAGCCGCUACCAACACAAUCUCCAUCUCUCCAUUCCAGAAAUAUAAAUUUACACUCGGGCGUGAUAUAAAUUAGCGUGUUUCGAGUUCGAGCUGAAACGCAUUAUCAAAAUGUUCCAACGAACCGGAAAGCACUCGUGCGAGAGGAGAAAUGACUGCAUGGAGAAUACAAAGAUGGACGCAAAAUAUUUCUCCCUCGUAGUUUCAAUUUAUCAUAUUCUCUUUCCCCUUUCUUCCUCUCUCUCUUUCUCUCUCUCUCUCUCUCUCUCUCUCUCUCUCUCUCUCUCUCUCUCUCUCUCGCUCGCUCGCUCGCUCGUUCUUUUUUAUUUCAUCUCCAUUAUAGUUCCUACCGGGUAUCGUCGAAUAAUUUCAAAGCGAAACGAUAUGAAUUUGUUAUUAUUUCAACUACGGCUCAUCCUCUUACUCUUUUCCCCUUUCACCGUCGUUACCGUUACUUUGAUUCGGCUAAAUUUUGGUUUGUUACGUCGUCGAUUAUCGCAAACCCCCUUUUGUAAUAAGCGAGAGAAUAUUCAACAGUCGAGCGAGAGAAUAAUCCGAAACCACCAGAAUUAUGGUAAGCCCGGGGUACUUUUCCUCCUCUACCUACAUCUCUUCCUCCUCUUACUCCUCAUCCUCCUUCUCAUCUUCCUUCUCCUCCUCCUCCUCCCUACGGAUAACUACGGGAAUGGGGAAUUAAGCCCUUGGCAAUGAGGCGGCUCUGAGUCGACCGAAAUCGUUGAUAGAGAAGAGCCUGCACCAUUCUCUUUCUCUGUCUGUUAUCCAUUUACUGUCAAAUCGUUGAUUGCCAAGCUCUUGAAAUAAAAUGACAAUUAAAAGAAUUCCCAUUGUCGUUCUUAUUAUCCAAUUAGUUUCGAUUAGGCAACGUAAAUACAAAAAAAAGAAAAAAAAAAUAGAGAGAUAGGGAAAAAGGAUGAAAAAAAAAAAAACAACAACAACAACAAAAGAAAAAAGAGAAAAAGAUGUCGAAGAGAGGAAGGAAAAUAGGAAAGAAAUUUCCUCGAUGCUUAGUUUAUAUACUUUGAAAAUAAUACCGUAUCGUAUCGACAAAAGUAAUAAAAGAAAAAAAAAAAAAAAAAAAAAGGAAGGGGGUUGGUAGUCAAUCUAAUAGGAUGAUACAAGGAGAAGAGAGUCAGCGGAAAGAGGAAACAAAUAUUUGAAAAGCUUACUGGGUGACAUGAAACUGCUUGCCGUUUGACAAGGAGAGGAGAGAGAAGACGAGAGGAGGGAGAAAAAUGUGAAAGAAAAAGAUAGGGAUGAAAAAAAAGAAAGGAAGAAAGAAAGCAAGGAAGGAAGAAAGGAAGGAAGGAAGGAGAAAGGAUAAGAGGACGAAUCGCACUGGACUCGAAGACGAAAAGUUAAAAGGGAAGAAGCAUGUGAGAGAGAGAGAGAGAGAGAGAGAGAGAGAGAGAGAGAGAGAGAGGAGGAGAGAGACAGAUGAUCUCUUUUUACGGAGACACUUUAGCUGUGUUCUAUCUUGUGCAUCGCACCAUGAAAAAGUAAUACCACACACAUAUACACAUACACGCACACACGCACACACACACACACACACAUAUAUAUAUAUAUUUAUAUAUAUUUAUAUACAUAUGUAUCCAUAAGGAAAAACGUACGUAAUACGCGAGUGAAUCAACGACAGUGGCAACCACCGACAACGGUAGUGGUAGAGUACCACCCUCUCACGACCGCCACCGCCUCUUCCUUGUCUUUCGUUUGAUCUCCACUCGCAGUAUUUUUUGACGGUCGAGUCGAACAAUUUGUAUGCCGCGGUGGUUUUCAAUUUACAUUUAAAUUGGUUGCUUAUGGCGUUCUGUCGUCUCGACGGGAGUCGGUGAGGGUGAGAGUGAGGGUGAAGAGGGAAAGAGAGAGGGAGAGAGAGAGAAAGAGAGGGAGUUAGCCG